AGCUAAAUGUUUGGAAUUUUUUGGUAGCUAUGAUGACCAGACAUUCUGCAUUGCAAUAACAAUAGAUAUGUAUUUAUUGAGUACUUAUGUAAUAGGAGUGGAGCAAGCAUGCAGCCGUUAGUCUGUAAUUCUUAUCAGGAGACCUUGAGCGUGGCCAACAGUCAGUGUCCCAGUGGUCCUUGUGGCAGAGAGUGCAGAUUAAGGCCUUCUCCCUGGGGCCCUCUAGGCCCCCCAGCCUCCGGGCCAGUGGAUGAGCUGGGCAGCCUGGGGACAGGCUGAGGGCUGGAUCCUGAAGAGCUCCAGAGUCCUCACCGUAGCUGGGCACAGGCCUGGAAGCAGCAGCGAACCUUUUCCGCAAACCCACAGUCCAUGGAGUCCUCAGCAACUGGAGUGUACGGACAUGGCCUUUAAGGAUGCUGAGGCUGAAACAGACCGACUAUUGCAGUGGAACUCUCUUAGGGAAGGGUCCAAGCUGCUUCUCCUUGAAGACAACAACAUACCAGCCCCAACCUCACAGAUGGUGUUAGUCAUCCUGAUAAUGCACCUCAGUUAA
rnacentral:lncRNA from 1 species